GCCUGGGUGGCUCAGUGGUUGAGCAUCUGCCUUCAGCUCAGGGCGUGAUCCUGGAGUCCCGGGAUCGAGUCCCGCAUCAGGCU
rnacentral:tRNA from 1 species